GGGGCAGGGGACCGGGAGGAAAAAGUUAGGAAAAACUUUUACCCUGAAUUUGCUCAGGGGAGAAAAACGCACCAGAAAGGGAAUUUGCUGGAGAGAUUUGCUCCUCUUCCAGGUACACUAAAAUACACAUUCCUGAGCAGAAGGGUGCUUUCUCCAAAGGCUCUUGAGAGGAGAAGCUGAGAACAGCUUAAUGCCUUCACCGAGAGACGUGACCCAGAGAAUCACUGUAGCCCUGCCUGGUCUGAAAAGGUAAGAAAGCUCAAGGCCCAGAUGGUGGAGUGAAUUGUCCAAGGAUUGACAGAACUGGGACUGGAAUCCACACAUUUUGGUUCCUGGGACCCUGUUUUAUCCAAGAACCUUGCACAUAAAAUGGCCUGACUUUGUGCUCUCUACUUCCUGCUCCUCUCAAACUAGAAAUGGCUUGCAGGAGCUCCAAAGUAAAAGAUCAGAGCGACUAGUCUAAGCCACCGCAGGGUGGCUUCUGUCCUGACCCCUCACACCUGGGCCUUUCACUGGGAGAGGGCGGAGAAGCCGCUGUUGGGGUCCAGCCUGAUCCCAGCGGCAGGGGAGGGAGGUGGCUGUUCCUGUUGGCUGUCUGAGCCGGGCAGUGGGCUGCUGGCCUAUUCCUGGGGCCUCCAGCAGACUUGUGAAGAGCUGCUGCCAAAAUGGAAGAGUCAAAACAGCCCCCGGAGAUGGGAGAGGAAGCAUUUAGAGAAGAGGGAUUGAACUCAGGAGCACUCAACCACUGAGCCACAUACCCAGCCCUAUUUUAUAUUCUAUUUAGAGACAGGGUCUCUCUGAGUUGCUUAGCGCCAUUGCUGAGGCUAGCUUUGAACUCAUGAUCCUCCUGCCUUGGCCUCCCAAGCUGCUGGGAUUCCAGGUGGACACAAUAUCUUUAUUUUGUUUUAUGUGGUGCUGAGAAUCGAACCCAGUGCCUCAAGCUUGUUAGAUGCAGAAAUGGAGACUUAAAGAGGCUGAAUAAUUUGCCCAAUAUCAUAGAGCUAGUAACUCUUGGGGCUGGAAUUUGAACCCAGGCAGUCCUGCUCUAGCAUUGGAGCUACCACUUGGUCACACCAGCAUAUCAGGUGUGUGUGUAUCUCUGGCCAAUUAACCUUUCUGGCUGGCAAAAUCUCACCUCUACCUGAACUCCAGGGAGAGAAGGCUAUCUUUAAAGGUUCCCAUUUCAUUUUUCAGUUUAAUUGUUAGAAAGUCCUUCAUUAUAUUGAACUAAAAUCUGCCUCCCCAAGGCUUCCAUUGAUCUUCACAGUACAAAUUUAAUCCCCCUUCCAUACAAACGCUCUCACACAGAUGUGUGCCACCCCGCCCCCAUGCCUCUUCCUGCGCAUCGUUUGUGGGAACACUGGAAAUAGGCCCUCUCAUGGUUCCAAGCCCCCAAAGCAGCUGAGGCCAAGGGGAGGCUGGAUGGAGCUUAUGGAGGGGGUGGAAUGUUAAAUCAGGUAUUGCAAAUAGCUCCCAGGCAAUAUUUAGAACCAUGGGCAAGAAUUUCUUGGGAACUAGCUGAGUGGUCCUAUCAUCCCUGAAUUAUAUGCCACCCUGUAUCAUAGAUGUUGCUAUAAGAUGUAUUUGGUCCUAAAAUUGGGGAGCACAGUGGAAUAGCUGUGACUGUGACCCUCUGAUUUAUAGCUGAAUCUUUAUUCCAACUUAAUGAGGUUCCCUAGGAAAGGGAACCAUGUGCAAAAAAAUUAGUGAGGAUGAGACACAGAAAGACAUAAAAAUGGAGAGGAUGAAGGACCCCAGUGAUAUGAAAAGCGGUUCUGCAGCAGGAAAGAUGGCAGCAGAUAAGGCAAGGAGAUAAAUGAAUACCUUGGUCUGGACAUGAAAGAGCUGGAAGUGUUUGUCUUCUCCACUGAUUACAUAAUAGAAAUCAGAACACUUAAGAAAGUUGCCAGGUGGAUAUAGUACUAAAGCAACCAAGCCAGCUCCCCUAGAGGGCUUCAUGGAAAGGAAUGAGAAGAAGCACCUUUGACAGCAAUCUUUAGCUAUCUUCUGUCCCUUUCUCCCCUCAACUACCAGCUUUUAGUUUGACUAUGGCACCCAAUGGAUUCAUGGCCUAUUAUCUAUCCUUUUGUGGUCACAUGGCCAAGAAUUUCCAAAAGGUCAGCAAUGAUGACAGCCCCAAAACCUGGUAGAACCCAAAUCCUGACCCCCAACCGAAGAUCUUUGGAGAAAUGGCAAAGAUAUGCAAUAAAAUAAAGAUGCCUCUGUUGUGCUAAUUGUGUGUUCAAACAUCCAUUCAAAGACACGUGGGCCAGGCCUGUAGCUACAGUGGUAAGCAAGACCAACUCAGUCUCCAUGUCAGGCUAAUCAGACUCAUUGUGCAAAACUCUGUGUUAGCCUGAGCUGGUAUGAAGCUCUGAUCAUCUCAGCCCCCUUUUAGGACUUUUAGGAAGGAGAUGUGGAGGGUGAACAUUUUCUCUGCAGUUGGAAUAGGAUGCUGCUGGCUGGAUACUAGCUCUGCCUGUGUUGGCUCUCUUCUUGGAGAUGUGAGGUGUACAGCUAUGGGGGUGGGGGCGUAGGGUGCUUCUCAGAGGAAUAUCCACAGGCUUCCCCCCUUCACACUCCAUUGGACAAUUCCCCUUUGUCUAAAUUUGGAUAUUGCUCUCUAAUGCACAGAGGCUAAGCGUAGCAGUGUCAGCCUCUCCUGGAAUAUGGGGCCAGGCCUUUGAGCAGACAGGCAUUCCUCAUCUUCAGUCUCUCAGCAUCUCAGAGCGAUUAACAUAACAUGACACCAGGCCCAUCAAGAUAAGGAUCCUAAUGGCCACAAUGGCUUCCCUUUCUUCCCCCAGCCCUUCUUUAUUGCUCUGUGCUUUCCGCUCACUUCCAGCAGGGAAGAGUUUAGAAGCAUGGGGCUAGGCCAGCCGUUCUGCAGGCUGCUUCCCGCAAGGCUUGUGCGAGGGCUCCAGGGACGGGAGGCAUUUCCCUUUAAUAAGCUUCUCACACUACAUUAAAGAUAAAAGGGGAAGGGAAAUAUUUAUAUUCUGACAAAGCAGCUCUUCCCUUCAGGCUCUUGUUUUAUUUAUUAACUUGCUCUGUCCCUCUCUCUCUCCUCUCUCUCUGUUUCAGGGGCUAGGCAUUUGCGGUCCUUCUCCCCUUUAGUCAUUAAUUUUGUGGGUGAGUGACAGUGACAGGGGGACUUGGAAUUGUUGUCAAAGAGACGGGAUUGUAGGUGGGUGCCAUUCCCAGGGGACACAAACAGCUGUUUCUCCAUCCUCCUGGGAGCUACUUCCCAUUACCACUCUUAUUAUAUAGCACCUGGACGGUGGAAUAGAUCACACUGGUUAAGUUAUGUCAUUUUUAAAUGAAGCUGUGUCAGUGGGCAAAUUGUCAGAGGUAUGGUAACCUAGGUGGGUGGCUGUGUGCCGGGGAUCUCUUCGACCUCCUGUUUUAUGACACAUUUUCUUCUCUCACAGAGAUGAUCCCUUAAGGAGGCUUAUUUCUUCCCAGCUAAUCUACCCAGAGCCAAUAAAACAUGGGUAUGCUGUUCUGAAUCUUGAUUUAUCCUUUUGCAAUGAUUAUCGUUAAAGUUUCAGACCACCUAUUGUUCUAAAGCUGUGGCAGGUUGUUAAGGAGUUAAUCCUCUAUUCCCUACCCACCACUUACCCCCUUUAAGGAGUCUGCCUUGAUUAGUGGAGGCAGGAGGACAGGAGAGGUUAGGUUCUGCUCUUUUGGCUUGGGUAGUAAGUACCUGGGAGUUGAAGCUUCUGCUUUUUGGUAAUUUCUUUUUCUUUUUAAAAAUGACACAUGAUCAUCACUUAAAAAUUCAAGAACAAGGAAAGCAACAAAUGACCUGCCCAUCUGUGGAGAAGCAAAGGUGGGUCAAGAGCUCAGAUUUUGGAGCCUGCAUCUCUGGGCUGGAUCCUUUAGCUCUACCAUGUAUUAACAGCAGGAGACAGUGCCCGGCCUCAGUUUCCUUACCAGUAAAAUGGGGGUGAUGGUAAUAUCUUCUUCUUAGGAAUCUUAUAAGGAUUAACUUUGUAGAUGCAUGUACAGUACUUAAAAUAACUUGUAAGAAUCAGCUAUUGUUAUUAUUACCGUCCAAAAAUAACCAGUGAAUAAUACUUGAUACAUAUACUCCAGAUUUGUACAUAUACCGUGUGUGUGUGUGUGUGUGUGUGUGUGUGUGUGUGUGUGUGAAGGGAGAAAGAGAGCAGACAACAGAAAUGAUCUUAUAAUAACAUGAUCAUAUUAUUUAUGCUUUUAAAAUUAGUAAAAGCAUUAGGUCUAGGUUUAUCUGAACAGAAGAAAGGAAUCACAUAAUAUUAAUGAACUUGAAAUAUUAUAACUCCUGAAUGACAAGAAAUAUUCAUUUCUAAAAUAUCAUUCCAAGGUUAAAAAAAAAAAAGAUGAUGAAAACCAAUGGAAGGGUCGGGUGCAUGGUUGGAUUUGACCAGUUGCCUUGUGAUGAAAAAUGACAGUGCUCUCAGGCUUCUUCCUGUUGCUUCUAUGAUUUUUAAUUUGUUUGGGUCUAUAGCAUCUGCAUUCUGAUUUGCAUCUGUUUAUUUCUCCAGAGGGUAAGUCCUCACUUGAUAUUUAAUUGGAUUCAAUGUUUACUGCUAGUCUAUGUUUCUGGAUAAGAGAGUCCAUGUGAUUAAGUAAAUAAGAAGGUUUUAGUAAGUGAUAAAGAAGGUCUGUGUUAGUUGGUUAUAUAUGUAAGUUUUUUGAGCAAGUAAUCUUAAAGAAAUUAAAUAGCUGGUUAAACAAGAACUGUUGUUUUAGAGAAUUAUGCUAUGUUAUUUCUUUAAAAGCUAAAUUUGGUUAAUAUAAAAACAUCAAUGUAAUUGUGGUGCUAUUAAUGUGUUCAUAUCUUACAGGUAUUCAAGUCUGUAAGGUAGAAGCUUUAAAAGAGCAUUAUAUCAAGCUGGUGUUCUAAAGUUGUACGGCCACCCAUCCACUCAAAUGGCCCUCCAGCCUAUUACUUCUCAAUCAGACUUCUAUCAUGGACCACUCCAUAGACCCGAUUUCUAAAGGGGGACUCCAAACUGCUUGCCCAACAUCAUUCCCUUUCAGCCUGAAGAAGCCAGAACGAUCUUUGCCUCCUUUCCUUACAGCAGUAAGGAGUUCCCAAAAUUAGAGGGGGGAACGAAGCCAGAUUUAAAGUUAGGUAAUCAGUGUAGUUAGGUAAAUCGGGUCUAAUAUCCAGUGAAAUCUAAAUGGAGGCCAUGUUGAGAAUGAAUUGAGCAACUCUCUUGGAAUGUUAAUGAAGUCCAGGAAAAAGCCCAAGGCCAAGGUCCAUCCCAAAGAAGUGUUAAUGAACAGCCCCAGCAGAUUUAAAGAUAGCCCAUCCCAAAGAAAUGUUAAUGAACAGCAAACUUGAAGAUGCUGACUCGGAAGUGCCCAGAUUACUUCUUUGGCCCACCUGUGUCCCAACCCUUUGGGCCUUCCCACCUACAUUCCAUCACCGAAAACUGUAAAAUGGAGAGACAACCGCACUUCCAUGGAUUCUAUCUCUUGGGUCCCCUUCUUCCUCCGAGAGAAGUCUUUUCUGCUGUCCUUUAAUAAACUUCUAACUUUCCACUCUGAAAAAAAAAAAAAAAAGCAAACCAAUGGAAGGGUCGGGUGCAUGGUUGGAUUUGACCAGUUGCCAUGUGAUGAAAAAUGACAGUGCUCUCAGGCUUCUUCCUGUUGCUUCUAUGAUUUUUAAUUUGUUUGGGUCUAUAGCAUCUGCAUUCUGAUUUGCAUCUGUUUAUUACUCCAGAGGGUAAGUCCUCACUUGAUAUUUAAUUGGAUUCAAUGUUUACUGCUAGUCCUUUUAUCAAGGCUUUCACUUACUAAUUCUCUAAUUUGGUCAAUUUCUUGACUAGCUGUAUUUAAUAGUCAAGUAGUUUUUUUCUUAUCUUUUCUGCCUCAUUGGGAAGGGCCAUGGAUGCUUUUUUCCUCCAGUUCUGUCACAGAACUGCCUGUUCCCUCUCUGCUCAGAAGGACUGCUUGCCCAGUGUAACCUGCUGGAGCUCUCUGAUUCCUGUCAGGACCUUGGAGGCACCCCUCCAUCACCUUCUGGCACUGAAUGCUGUUAGUCAGAAGGAUAAAGCCGGGUUUAUGGUUUCCUUUCGUUGGGUCCUGGGUUUUCAUGAAUGCUUGAAGAAUUCCCUCUCUCUUGUGUGUUUUUGGUUUUUUUUUUUGUACUUGGGAUUGAACCCAGGGGCACUUUACUACUGAUCCACA